GCCCUUAGAGUUUGAUCCUGGCUCAGAUUAAACGCUGGCGGCAUGCCUAACACAUGCAAGUCGAACGGUAACAGGCCUUUCGGGGUGCUGACGAGUGGCGGACGGGUGAGUAACGCGUGGGAAUCUGCCUGUGAGUGGGGGAUAGCCCGGAGAAAUCCGGAUUAAUACCGCAUAAGACCUUAGGGUGAAAGCGGGGGCUCGUAAGACCUCGCGCUGACAGAUGAGCCCGCGUCCGAUUAGCUGGUUGGUGGGGUAAAGGCCUACCAAGGCGACGAUCGGUAGCUGGUUUGAGAGGAUGAUCAGCCACACCGGGACUGAGACACGGCCCGGACUCCUACGGGAGGCAGCAGUGGGGAAUAUUGGACAAUGGGCGCAAGCCUGAUCCAGCAAUGCCGCGUGUGUGAAGAAGGCCUGCGGGUUGUAAAGCACUUUUAUUGGGGAGGAGAAGCGGAGCACGAACACUGCUCUGUGGAGACGUUACCUGAUGAAUAAGCACCGGCUAACUCCGUGCCAGCAGCCGCGGUAAUACGGAGGGUGCGAGCGUUAAUCGGAAUUACUGGGCGUAAAGGGCAUGUAGGCGGCCCGCUAAGUCUGAUGUGAAAGCCCUGGGCUUAACCUGGGAACGGCAUGAGAUACUGGCGAGCUGGAGUGCGACAGA
rnacentral:rRNA from 1 species